rnacentral:lncRNA from 1 species
CUACUAGCAUUCCACACGGGGGCCUUUACAACCUUAAUACUCAGGAUGAUAUUCAAGCUAAAAUGGCAGCCCUUACUCGGAAGGUAGAGGAAAUUGAACUUAGAAGGAUUGAACCCGUCAAGACCGUAGAACAUAACAGCGAGUGUUGUAGGAUUUGCGAGAUGCCUGGCCAUCUCAUCACUGAUUGCCCCACAAUACCCGCAUUCAAGGAAGUCUUGCACGAUCAGGCCAAUGUUAUGAA